rnacentral:rRNA from 1 species
GGGAAACUGCCCGAUGGAGGGGGAUAACUACUGGAAACGGUAGCUAAUACCGCAUAACGUCGCAAGACCAAAGUGGGGGACCUUCGGGCCUCACACCAUCGGAUGUGCCCAGAUGGGAUUAGCUAGUAGGUGGGGUAAUGGCUCACCUAGGCGACGAUCCCUAGCUGGUCUGAGAGGAUGACCAGCCACACUGGAGCUGAGACACGGUCCAGACUCCUACGGGAGGCAGCAGUGGGGAAUAUUGCACAAUGGGCGCAAGCCUGAUGCAGCCAUGCCGCGUGUAUGAAGAAGGCCUUCGGGUUGUAAAGUACUUUCAGCGGGGAGGAAGGCGGUGAAGUUAAUAGCUUCACCGAUUGACGUUACCCGCAGAAGAAGCACCGGCUAACUCCGUGCCAGCAGCCGCGGUAAUACGGAGGGUGCAAGCGUUAAUCGGAAUUACUGGGCGUAAAGCGCACGCAGGCGGUCUGUCAAGUCGGAUGUGAAAUCCCCGGGCUUAACCUGGGAACUGCAUUCGAAACUGGCAGGCUAGAGUCUUGUAGAGGGGGGUAGAAUUCCAGGU